rnacentral:rRNA from 1 species
GAUGAACGCUGGCGGCGUGCCUAAUACAUGCAAGUCGAGCGAACGGACGCGAAGCUUGCUUCUCUGAUGUUAGCGGCGGACGGGUGAGUAACACGUGGAUAACCUACCUAUAAGACUGGGAUAACUUCGGGACACCGUAGCUAAUACCGGAUAAUAUUUUGAACCGCAUGGUUCAAAAGUGAAAGACGGUCUUGCUGUCACUUAUAGAUGGAUCCGCGCUGCAUUAGCUAGUUGGUAAGGUAACGGCUUACCAAGGCAACGAUGCAUAGCCGACCUGAGAGGGUGAUCGGCCACACUGGAACUGAGCCACGGUCCAGACGCCUACGGGAGGCAGCAGUAGGGAAUCUUCCGCAAUGGGCGAAAGCCUGACGGAGCAACGCCGCGUGAGUGAUGAAGGUCUUCGGAUCGUAAAACUCUGUUAUUAGGGAAGAACAUAUGUGUAAGUAACUGUGCACAUCUUGACGGUACCUAAUCAGAAAGCCACGGCUAACUACGUG